UAAGGAGGAUGCGAGCGUUAUCCGGAUUUAUUGGGUUUAAAGGGUGCGCAGGCGGAAUGUCAAGUCAGCGGUAAAAUUUCGGGGCUCAACCCCGUCGUGCCGUUGAAACUGGCGUUCUUGAGUGAGCGAGAAGUAUGCGGAAUGCGUGGUGUAGCGGUGAAAUGCUUAGAUAUCAUGAAGAACUCCGAUCGCGAAGGCAGCGUACCGGCGCCAGACUGACGCUCAGGCACGAAAGCGUGGGUAUCGAACAGG
rnacentral:rRNA from 1 species